GAUGAACGCUGGCGGCGUGCCUAAUACAUGCAAGUCGAGCGAACGGACGAGAAGCUUGCUUCUCUGAUGUUAGCGGCGGACGGGUGAAUAACACGUGGAUAACCUACCUAUAAGACUGGGAUAACUUCGGGAAACCGUAGCUAAUACCGGAUAAUAUUUUGAACCGCAUGGUUCAAAAGUGAAAGACGGUCUUGCUGUCACUUAUAGAUGGAUCCGCGCUGCAUUAGCUAGUUGGUAAGGUAACGGCUUACCAAGGCAACGAUGCAUAGCCGACCUGAGAGGGUGAUCGGCCACACUGGAACUGAGACACGGUCCAGACUCCUACGGGAGGCAGCAGUAGGGAAUCUUCCGCAAUGGGCGAAAGCCUGACGGAGCAACGCCGCGUGAGUGAUGAAGGUCUUCGGAUCGUAAAACUCUGUUAUUAGGGAAGAACAUAUGUGUAAGUAACUGUGCACAUCUUGACGGUACCUAAUCAGAAAGCCACGGCUAACUACGUG
rnacentral:rRNA from 1 species